ACGGACCCACCCUCCGCCGCCUUCCUGUCCAUUAACUCGCGUCGUCUAAUCGGCUAAACUCCAUUCGUUCCCCUCUCCUCUCGUUGCUUCCACCUCCGCCUCGAAAUCACAGCCGGCGGGAGAGAAGUGGAGGCCGUGGACCUCAGCUGAUUCGUGCCGGUUCAUCUAGUUGCGGGUAUUGCUCGUUUCAGAUAAAGUUCUGCUCUGCUCUUCUCUUCUCUGCUCUUCAUCUGUUCGUCAAAAUGCCUCACUGAAGCGUUACAUUCCUGUGAGUAGGUUCUCUUUUUUUUUGGUAAACAGAGUAGGUUCUCUCGAUGGCCAGCUUUAAAGCUCAAAAGUUCCUUAGGUGACCUAACCCAGCUAUUGCCAUUCUCAAAUCUUCCAUGUUGGUUUUCCUGGUUGUUUCCUCUUCCCCUAUGUAAUUUGUGGAAGAACAAGGAUCGUGGUAUACUUCAUAACUCCUAUCCCUUGUACUUCUAAAAAGAUGUGAAGGCAGAUCUUAGCUGAUCAAUUCUCCUUUGGGCUCAUUUGGUUC
rnacentral:lncRNA from 1 species